ACUCAAUAGAUACCCGGGUAGUCCACGCCCUAAACGAUGUCUACUAGUUGUCGGGUCUUAAUUGACUUGGUAAACGCAGCUAAACGCGUGAAGUAGACCGCCUGGGGAGUACGGUCGCAAGAUUAAAACUCAAAGGAAUUGACGGGGACCCGCACAAGCGGUGGAUGAUGUGGAUUAAUUCGAUGCAACGCGAAAAACCUUACCUACCCUUGACAUGGAUGGAAUCCCUGAGAGAUUGGGGAGGUGCUCGAAAGAGAACCAUUACACAGGUGCUGCAUGGCUGUCGUCAGCUCGUGUCGUGAGAUGUUGGGUUAAGUCCCGCAACGAGCGCAACCCUUGUCAUUAGUUGCUACGAAAGGGCACUCUAAUGAGACUGCCGGUGACAAACCGGAGGAAGGUGGGGAUGACGUCAAGUCCUCAUGGCCCUUAUGGGUAGGGCUUCACACGUCAUACAAUGGUACAUACAGAGGGCCGCCAGCCCGCGAGGGGUAGCUAAUCCCAGAAAGUGUAUCGUAGUCCGGAUUGUAGUCUGCAACUCG
rnacentral:rRNA from 1 species